UUGUUUGUUCUGCAGGAGCACUUCAAACCAGGUUAAUGGCAGGAUGAAAUACACCUUCCAGGAAGGAGAUGUCAUACAACCAGUAAGCUUCCUCAAUGAGCUACGUCUACCCACCAGUACAACAGUGUUUCCCGAAACAACAUUUGGUUUCUCUGUGACUCCUUCAAACCUCAUAUCUGGAUCAGCAGUGGUCAAAAGCAAGCUGGUGUUCAACUCCUCAUCUCCAGUCCCCAGUGAAUCUCUGGUCCUCAAUGCAAUCAAAACUCUGCGUAAUUCCAGAGAGUCACAGCUCAAUGAAUCAGUGAAGGUGGUGAAUGUCACCUAUGAGAAAAUCUCAGAAACCUCCUAUGCUGUGGUCUUUACAUUUAACGUGAUUAACAUCAGCAUGCCAGAGGACCCUAAGUCUAGAGGCAACACCAACCAGCAAGUGCAGGAUACCAUCAAUAAAGCGGUAAACUUACAAUAAUAAACAGUGUAAAAAGGCUUAGGUUCAAUGGCAGUUUUCACAAGAAACUGAUGAUUGGUUUGAUUUUUCUUUUGCAGCUGAACACUCUUCUGAAUGAACCUGGCAGUCUAAGUUUACAACCCAAGACCUCCAACUUCACGUAAGAUGCAAAUUUAUAUUUCAAUCUUGACUUUGUCUCCAAAAAUGUAGGUAAUCUAAGUAAUCCAAA
ensembl:lncRNA